CUAUAAAGCUCCUCUGGUGAGGCUGGCACUUCUCCUGGUUUAGCUCUGCAGCCAGAGCUUUUCUCUGAGAAAGAUGAUGAACCUUUACGGGAAAAGAAGGCUUCAGUGUCAAGAGUGAAUGAUUUUGUUUUAUGAGUGGUUUUUGUUCAUCUUUGUUCUGCCCUUGGCUAAAGGAGACUUACAGAGUGGGCACGCUGUUAAAGUAUGGUGCUCGUAACUUUUUUCCUCUGCAUGUGC
rnacentral:lncRNA from 1 species